GCCCGAGUGGCGGAAUGGUAGACGCAGGGGAUUCAAAAUCCCCCGCCGAAAGGCUUGUCGGUUCGAGUCCGACCUCGGGUACCA
rnacentral:tRNA from 1 species